AUACGGAGGGGGCUAGCGUUGUUCGGAAUUACUGGGCGUAAAGCGCGCGUAGGCGGUCCGCGUAGUCAGGCGUGAAAGCCCCGGGCUCAACCUGGGAACUGCGUUUGAUACUGGCGGUCUAGAGUCCGGGAGAGGGUAGUGGAAUUCCCAGUGUAGAGGUGAAAUUCGUAGAUAUUGGGAAGAACACCGGUUGCGAAGGCGGCUACCUGGACCGGUACUGACGCUGAGGUGCGAAAGCGUGGGGAGCAAACAGGAUUAGAUACCCCGGUAGUCC
rnacentral:rRNA from 1 species